AGGUUGUACGCUCAAGGCUUCAAGAACAGGGCCACCAUUCUGAGAAGCGUUACUCUGGCGUAGUUGAUUGCAUAAAGAAAGUAUUUCAGCGUGAUGGUUUUCGUGGUUUUUACCGUGGGUGUGCUACCAACCUUCUUAGGACCACCCCUGCUGCUGUUAUUACAUUCACUAGCUUUGAGAUGAUUCACCGGUUUCUUGUUACCCUUUUCCCUCCUGACCCACAUCCUCACACAUUGUGAAAGUGGAUUGAUCUCGAGACUGUUUGUAUGGAUGGACCAACUUGCAUUACCAUGGACAACAAAAUGGAAGAAUUGCUGAGGUUAGGUUGACAUUUAAUGAUGAUACAUUUUCUAGAUUGCUUGUAUUCGGUAUUUAUUUCAGGUAGUUUGCAGCAAGUAGCAACAGUGAUAGAUAUUGAAGCUACAUCAUCCCCCUCAUAGAACUUCUGCAACUAAAAGUAGUUGGAGGGGAAGGAAUUUUUAUGUUAUACUGAAUUACGGAUAGUGAUAAUGACGACAUAAAGGGUGC
rnacentral:misc_RNA from 1 species